rnacentral:sRNA from 1 species
GUGGUCAGCGCCGGAUUUAAACUAAAUCCGUGGUGAAUGCCCCUGUGCGGAGGCGCGUAACUGGUUGGGCUGCGUCCUUGUUAGUGUUCACGCGGGCAGAAAUGACCAGUUUUCUGCUCACCGGGAGGCACCCGGCACCACAGGAAAGGUCUGAAUCGUUCGUUAUUUUGCAUUUACUUGA